AGACUAAUUAAAUGAAAGAUAGUAAUUAGAGGAAGAUAGUAUAUUUCAUUGAUUAAUUUUGAUAUUUUUCAUUGUACAAGUUUUAGUUUAUCUAGAGAUACAAAAGCAAAUGUGAAAUAUUCUUUGAAGUAUUGACACUGAUAUAUUUAAACAAAUUAUUUUUGUAUACUUUUUAUAAUAUAAUAAUAUAACACGUUAGAAGAAAAUUGAAUUCCGCUAAAAAAUAACAUUUGAUGUAUCUCAUAUUAUGUAUAAAGGGUGUGUAUUUUUUGUCUUUUCGGUAGCUUAUUUAUUCUGAAAUUUAAAGUUUGUCAUACAAGAGUGUCAUCUUAAGAUAUAACUUUGAAGAAGAUAUUACUUCAAGGAAAUAAAGAGUAAAAGAGAAACAGAAUUUGGAAUUUGAGAUACAAGCAGGAAGCACAUUAGAAACAUCGUUUCCUGGUUGGAAUAGGUUCAGAAGGGACAAAUGGGCGGAGAAAAGGACUGUACGGUGUAGAGAAAGGCAGAGCAAGGUGUUGCAGCAAACAGAGUGGCGAUGCACAAUAGAUGCGUAGUUAGUAAAUUACAGACUGCCAGGGACAAUGGCGUGCGUACCGAGCAAGCGUGCGCGUGUAUGAGAGUUUUCCACGCUGUCUACUGGGUGACGCGGAUAGAAACGCAGUGAUUCGAACAGGAUCCAAACGCUUGUUCUCGGGGCACCCUGUAGAAUGGCAAGCAGCAGUGCGUAUCCACCGUUCAUUCGUGUAUACAUAGUCCGCGUGGGAGAUUCAACGUGUACAUCAAUCUGACCUGCGGGCACCUGUGUAUAUUAUGUGCCUGCGUUAGGUAGGAGAAAAAUGUUCGUCCGCCAUUUGACGAGGAAAGCUGCUACGCGUAGUUUAAGAGAGCAUCUGGAAGCGCAAUAAAGAUUGAACCAAUGUCGGGAAAGCGCCACUGUAAGAGAACGAUUUAACGUGACACGUUUUAUUAUGAUAUAUUUACUUCAUAAAAGUCGUUUCUGCAAUCUUUUUUUAAGUAUAAUAUUUAAUAAUUUAUUAUUUUAUAUGCCACUUUUUUUUAUUGAUUCGGCAGACAGUAGAGUUGAUUAAUCAUAGCAGCGGAAAUUUCAUAAAGCGAAAAAGGUAGGGUAUGAAAGGGAGU